GAUGAACGCUGGCGGCGUGCCUAAUACAUGCAAGUCGAGCGAACAGACGAGGAGCUUGCUCCUCUGACGUUAGCGGCGGACGGGUGAGUAACACGUGGAUAACCUACCUAUAAGACUGGGAUAACUUCGGGAAGCCGGAGCUAAUACCGGAUAAUAUAUUGAACCGCAUGGUUCAAUAGUGAAAGACGGUUUUGCUGUCACUUAUAGAUGGAUCCGCGCCGCAUUAGCUAGUUGGUAAGGUAACGGCUUACCAAGGCGACGAUGCGUAGCCGACCUGAGAGGGUGAUCGGCCACACUGGAACUGAGACACGGUCCAGACUCCUACGGGGGCAGCAGUAGGGAAUCUUCCGCAAUGGGCGAAAGCCUGACGGAGCAACGCCGCGUGAGUGAUGAAGGUCUUCGGAUCGUAAAACUCUGUUAUUAGGGAAGAACAAAUGUGUAAGUAACUAUGCACGUCUUGACGGUACCUAAUCAGAAAGCCACGGCUAACUACGUG
rnacentral:rRNA from 1 species